CAGGACUAGAUAAGAGAAAUGUAUGAAUAGGGAGGCUGUGACUGGCCUCACACUCCAGUACAGUAAGUAGGUGGCGGUGGUGGUUGCGAUCAGCCAAUACAAAGUUAAAGAAGCAGAAGAAGAAGAGCACACUGCUCUCAAGCGUUUGUUGCAUGGAGCAGCUCACAGAAGAAUGACAUCGGGAGCCUGUAGGGUAAGGAAGAGGAAGUACACUGCACAGAAGAACCCCACAGCCAUACAGAUGCUGCCCAGGCUGUUGAACCAGAAAGCAAACAGCCGAGGUUGAAGAGCUGGAGCAGGAAGAUGCAGGAGGAACACAGUAGGCUCAGGAAGCCAGUCUCCAGUGUGUUAUUGAGGGUCCGUCUUGCCCAGUAUAAAGGCACAGACAAGCAUACAGCAUCCCCCCAGCAGCAGAAGGCCCGGCACAACGUAGGCUAGCGUGGUGGUCCAGAAGGCAAACAGACUUACCGCUGAUGAACCAGCAUAAGAGGAAGAGGGAGGCCAGGGUGCUCCAGGUGGUGCAGAGAUGGUUCAGGAGGUUGGGGGGCAUGUCUUCUGAGUCCUGGGCACAUGGUAGGCAGGAGAGCAGGGCUAGGGCCAGGACGGAGGCCCCCAUUACCACCAGGUAAAUGGGGAUGUAGUGCUGCCGGGGGCAGUCAUACAGGUACAUUGCACCUAUAAAGUAAUACAUAGUGGUAGGAGAGUUUGGGAUGGUCAGUUGCAGCAAGAGUAUUACUUCAGCUACUCACCUAUGGUGAUCUGAGCGAUAGGAAUGGCACAUGCAAGUAGUUUAGAGAUACCUGGGGGAGAGAGAAGAUAGAGGUUACGAUUUUUGCCCUAAACCCAAUCUACAUAUUUUAGCUACAUUUUCCCUAUGAUUUAAAGUGGUAAUCUGCAGUUACUACAUACAUUUUUGGACCUAUAAAUUAAUGAUAUGUACCCAUUGAUUAUUAAAUAAUAUAACUUAAAAAUGCCUCAUGAGCUUAGUUCAGCUGUUGUACUCAGAACCCAAAAUAUAAGCUUGUUUGAAUUUUACUCCAAUGUUUGUAUAUAAAGUAAAUGUAAA
rnacentral:lncRNA from 1 species